AGUUGAGGUGAUGGCGACUGGGACGCCGGAUUCGCAAGCCCGAUUUGGUCAGUCCGUGAAGGGGCUUCUCACGGAGAAGGUGAACACCUGUGGCACCGAUGUAAUCGCGCUCACCAAGCAGGUGCUGAAAGGCUCGCGGAGCUCCGAGGUGAGCGGGGCGUGGGCUCCCCGGGCCCAGUCCUCCUCCCAGCGCUGGCUCCGGGAGAGGCGGCGCAUUGCAUCCUGGGGAGUGUAGGCUUUUGGCCCAGGCGCGUGUUGCAUUCUGGGUGAGUUUCUUCAGUUUAGGUUGAAUGCUUGUAGUUGGAAGAGAUGAUGGGUGGGAAGGGGAGAAGCACAGGCGGGCAGAUGAGCUGCGGCUCCUACACAGUGCCUGUUUGUGUUCAUGGGCGUCUGUAGUGAACAUCAGUCGCUUUUCGAAUCUCGGCUUGGCGAUGGCCUCAACUUCCAAGAUUUCUUACACCUCUCUCUUUGUGGGUUUAUUCUUUAUAUUUCUGGCCAAGCUCUUCACUGUUUCCUAGACAAGCUUUUUCUUUUGCCCUACCAUCUCCUCCCCCUUUCUCCAUCCUCCAUCCGAUUCUAUGAAUGGAAUGAUUUGAUGACACGUACACGCUGCUUGUUGAGGUCGUUAUCUGCCCUAGAGAAACCGUGUGCCCACACAAAGACACGUACAUGUUCAUACACUUUUCCUCAUGAGACAACUCACACGCUCAUGGACAGGUAAACGGGCAUAUGAGAUGCAAUGACCUCGUCUUUGGUAUGUAUUUACUAAUGGAAAAUUAAACGUAUGGCGGUGCCUAAUGGGCACACCUUAGUCUGAGCUCUCAAGAGACCUGGGAUACAGAAGGGACUGCUUAGAAAACUUCCAAUUUCACCUUCCUUAGUAACCCCUACCUUAGUAACCCUUCGGCAAGUGGUUACCGUUUCCAACUUAGUUUUCAUAGGAACGGCACCUGCUUUCCUAUGUAGUUGCAAUAAUGACACACUAUGUUCUCAGGCCUUUGGAUCUGUGCAUGGAUGUUCACAACAUCUGACUUAUAUUACUUUAAACCUGCAGUGUAGCAAGAGCUGGCUUUCACUGACAGUGGCUGC
rnacentral:lncRNA from 1 species